GACGUAGGUGGCGAACGUUAUCCGGAAUUAUUGGGCGUAAAGGGUGCGUAGAUGGCCUGAUAAGUUAGCAGUGGGAAAUCGAGGCUCAACCUCGUGGAAGCUGGUAAUACUGUCAGGCUCGAGUGCAGGAGAGGUUAACGGAACUCCAUGUGGAGCGGUAAAAUGUGUAGAUAUAUGGAAGAACACCGAUAACGGCGAAGGCAGCUUCCUGGGUCGGCCCUGACGCUGAGGCGCGAAAGCGUGGGGAGCGAACGGG
rnacentral:rRNA from 1 species